rnacentral:tRNA from 1 species
GGGGAUGUAGCCUAGUGGUAGAGCACUGGCUUUGAAUGCUAGAGGCCCCGGUUCCAUCCUCA